AUUUCAUUAGAGAUACAAUUGAUAAAGGUGAUAUUAAACUGGUAAAAAUACCCACUAAGGUAAAUCCUGCUGAUGCUGGGACAAAGGUAAUACCACUUUGUAAGAUUUUAGAUUGUUUGAGAUUAUUAAAUCUCGAAACUUGCUGACAAAUUUUUUUGACUGGUGACUAGAGCAAAUGAAAUAAAAGACUAAGUUAGAAUCCACAUAGAUGAAGGCACAAAAUACAGCAAAGGUGGAGAUUGUAAGUUGUUGGGUUGCUGCAUUUUGUGAUGUGAGCCUGUUUUCUCAAGACUAUUGAAUUGAGCCCAAAUAAAUGGUCCAAUAUCAUG
rnacentral:lncRNA from 1 species